rnacentral:lncRNA from 1 species
UCUAAUUCUGCACCUUUAGUUUAUUACUUUUCUUUUUCAGACCAAUUUAUCAGAAUAUCUCUGAUGAAAGACUUUUGGAGAAUGACAACAAAAAGCUUCAGAAAGAGGACUUGGGUUGAAGCCCUGAUCUACAUACAUAGUUGUCUGUCCAUUAAGGGAAAGUGUCCUUACAAAAAGAUAUCAACAGUGUGGAAUGACAGAGACCAAGGAGGACACCUGAAACUCUUAACCUGCCAGACAAGGUUGGUAUUAAUCAGAUAAAGAAAUUGUAGCCCUGUGUGGCUGUCUGACUCGCCUUAGAUCAUGGAGUCAAUGAUUGACUGAGCCAAGUUUAGAGCCCAGGUCUCCCGAUUGGAUGAUGAAUCAAGUCCUUUUUGAUUUCUCAUUUUCAUGUCUUUUAUUUAGGUCUUGGUAUAUGGGCUUAUUUAAAAUGAGACUUAUUCCCUCCUCCCCCUGUACUUAAUCUUCAAUUGACAACACCCAGGAAUGUUAUAGCCAAAUUAAAAUUAAAGAAAGUCACACAACCA